UAAUACUCCAUAGAUUAGAGACACUGGAAUGUUCUUUAGUCGAAAGUUCUGGCGCCUUAGGAUGGAUCUGCGGCCGAUUAGGUAGUUGGUUAGGUAAUGGCUUACCAAGCCUUUGAUCGGUACGGGUUGUGAGAGCAAGAGCCCGGAGAUGGAACCUGAGACAAGGUUCCAGGCCCUACGGGGUGCAGCAGGCGCGAAACCUCCGCAAUGUGAGAAAUCGCGACGGGGGGAUCCCAAGUGCCAUUCUUAACGGGAUGGCUUUUCUUUAGUGUAAAAAGCUUUUGGAAUAAGAGCUGGGCAAGACCGGUGCCAGCCGCCGCGGUAACACCGGCAGCUCUAGUGGUAGCAAUUUUUAUUGGGCCUAAAGCGUCCGUAGCCGGUUUAAUAAGUCUCUGGUGAAAUCCUGUAGCUUAACUGUGGGAAUUGCUGGAGAUACUAUUAGACUUGAGACCGGGGGAGGUUAGAGGUACUCCCAGGGUAGAGGUGAAAUUCUGUAAUCCUGGGAGGACCGCCUGUUGCGAAGGCGUCUAACUGGAACGGUUCUGACGGUGAGGGACGAAAGUUAGGGGCGCGAACCGGAUUAGAUACCCGGGUAGUCCUAACUGUAAACGAUGCGGACUUGGUGUUG
rnacentral:rRNA from 1 species